CCUACGGGAGGCAGCAGUGGGGAAUAUUGGACAAUGGGGGGAACCCUGAUCCAGCCAUGCCGCGUGUGUGAAGAAGGCCCUCGGGUUGUAAAGCACUUUCAGUGAGGAAGAACGCCUGGUGGUUAAUACCCAUCAGGAAAGACAUCACUCACAGAAGAAGCACCGGCUAACUCCGUGCCAGCAGCCGCGGUAAUACGGAGGGUGCGAGCGUUAAUCGGAAUUACUGGGCGUAAAGCGCGCGUAGGUGGCUUGAUAAGCCGGUUGUGAAAGCCCCGGGCUCAACCUGGGAACGGCAUCCGGAACUGUCAAGCUAGAGUGCAGGAGAGGAAGGUAGAAUUCCCAGUGUAGCGGUGAAAUGCGUAGAGAUCGGGAGGAAUACCAGUGGCGAAGGCGGCCUUCUGGACUGUCACUGACACUGAGGUGCGAAAGCGUGGGUAGCAAACAGGAUUAGAUACCUCUGUAGUC
rnacentral:rRNA from 1 species